ACCUGCGGAGGAUCAUUAUCGAAAUAAAUCUGAACAGGCUGUUGCUGGUCGGAAGACAUGUGCACGCUUGUCCUCUUUAUUUUUCCAACUGUGCACAUAUUGUAGACCUUUUUGAGGGAAUGAUGGCCAAGGUCUAUGUUACAUUUAACAACUUGUUGUAGAAUGGGGGAUAUGAAACAAAUAUACAACUUUCAGCAACGGAUCUCUUGGCUCUCGCAUCGAUGAAGAACGCAGCGAAAUGCGAUAAGUAAUGUGAAUUGCAGAAUUCAGUGAAUCAUCGAAUCUUUGAACGCAUCUUGCGCUCCUUGGUAUUCCGAGGAGCAUGCCUGUUUGAGUGUCAUCAAGUUCUCAACCAUACCUCGGUGUGGCUUGGAUUUGGGGGUUUUUGCAGGCUUCAAAGAAAGUCGGCUCCCCUGAAAAGCAUUAGCGGUGUCCGAGUACCUUUGGUGUGAUAACUAUCUAUGCCUUGGUGUAUAYGAUGCAUGCUGCUUCUGAACUUCAUUUUUAUUGACAAAUUUGACCUCAAAUCAGGUAGGAUUACCCGCUGAACUUAAGCAUAUCAAUA
rnacentral:rRNA from 1 species